rnacentral:rRNA from 1 species
AUGGAGGCCGCGGUGUGCGACCCCUUGCACCGGAAGUACGUCCUACUUCCCCCAGUACCUGACGACCUGGCCGCUUCGGUGGCGCUCCACCCGGCCACGGCGCACGAACCCAGGUGCGAGGCUUUCCUUGUUCCCCUUGACGACGAGGACGAGACGGCAUUCGGUGUGAUGUGGAUGCUACAUUUCACAACUAGGCUGGCAGCGUUCGUCUACUCCUCGACCACUCGGCAGUGGCAAGCUGUUGCAUCCAAGGAAUGGAAUGAGUUGCUCCUUGGACAGGGCGAGUCGACCAUGGUGUCACCGAUCGACCGUCGCUUUUAUGGGCGUCAUUACGCUUAUGGCUGCUUCUACUGGGAGUCCAUCAUGGGGAAGAAAGAUUUGCUCGUGUUUGACACCCGGAGAAUGGAGUUCUCUAGUUGUAACAUCCUGCCUAGAGAAUUUUGUCCGCUAGAUCUGGCCAUUGUGGAGGCAGGGGAAGCCAGGCUUGGCUUGUUCGGUAUCCAUCUUGAAGCUGGAAAAUUUGAUCUCUGUUAUUACAUCAAGCGAAACAAAUGUGAGGGUUCUAGCCAGUGGCAGCUGGAGAAGACAAUCCCGAUAUGUUCGGGGUGCCGGCCUGAUAUCAUGGCUGCAACAGGGAGGUACUUGCUCCUAGGAAAGUUUGGACCCAUGCGGUCCGUAAACUCAACUCCACGCCAAGAUUUGGAAUAUAUCUCAGUUGAUGUCAAGACAUUGCAGCUUGCGAGGGUUUGUACUAAAUCUUCCGGGUUUGCCUUUUCCAAGACGUGGAUAUAUAUCAACUUCCCACCAUCGUUGUCUUCACCAAAAAUAUGA